CAUCUCUUCUCUUCAACUCUCUCUAUUAUCCCCACUUUCUCUACUUAUUUCUUAUCUGUUACAUCCAUCGCCGACUUCUAUUUUCUGAGAUCUUGCAUUCUUGCGUUUUCUAUUCUUUUCUACCACAUUCAUAAGCUUCUUAGUAGCUCUGAUAUUCUGAUUGCAAAAGUAUUUUGUGUAUAUCUUCUUACAUGUCUUAUUUGAAUUCAUGGUUUCAUGUUCCGGGAUCUCUUCUUUAAUUUAAAGGAUGAUGCUAAUGGUUACAAGAUGGGAUGCAAGAUUAAAUCAACCAAAAGAAAUAGCAUUUCCAUGUGACAACCCAAAUGCAUAGCUUAUGGCAACUAUUAGCCCAAUUACCUUAAGCUACUUAUAACCAUCUUGGAGGACGUUGUGGCGAACAUUCUCAACAAUUGCUUUGGAUUGCAGAAUGAAAUACCGUUCCAUUUAUUUGAUGUGCUCAUAUAUCAAUUUGUAUGCAAAUAUGAAUGAUGGAUGAAACUGAUGUAAACAAAUAGUUAGAUGACCAAAUAUGACAUUUCAAUAGAAUUAAGGAGUGUUCAAGUUCUAUAGAUGUAUUAAUGUAAUAAUGGUUGCAGAGAUAUUGAAAAAUACAUGUAGUAGUGCCAAAUGCUAUUGGUAUCCCCUCAGGCAUAUGCGAUUCUCCAAACUCAAGAAUCUGUCAUUGACAAGAUAUAUAUUAAGGCCUCUAUACUACACCUUUUUCCUUUA